ACGAAGCGGUGGAUGGAUGUGGAUUAAUUCGAUGCAACGCGAAGAACUUACCAAGGCUUGACAUACACCGGUAACGCCCAGAGAUGGGUGCCCCGUUUGUGGUCGGUGGACAGGUGGUGCAUGGGUUGUCGUCAGCUCGUGUCGUGAGAUGUUGGGUUAAGUCCCGCAACGAGCGCAACCCUCGUCCUAUGUUGCCAGCGGGUCAUGCCGGGGACUCAUGGGAGACUGCCGGGGUCAACUCGGAGGAAGGUGGGAUGACGUCAAAUCAUCAUGCCCCUUAUGUCUUGGGCUUCACGCAUGCUACAAUGGCCGGUACAAAGGGCUGCGAUACCGCGAGGUGGAGCGAAUCCCAGAAAGCCGGUCUCAGUUCGGAUUGGGGUCUGCAACUCGACCCCAUGAAGUCGGAGUCGCUAGUAAUCGCAGAUCAGCAACGCUGCGGUGAAUACGUUCCCGGGCCUU
rnacentral:rRNA from 1 species